rnacentral:rRNA from 1 species
GUGCCAGCCGCCGCGGUAAUACAGAGGGUGCAAGCGUUAAUCGGAAUUACUGGGCGUAAAGCGCGCGUAGGCCGUCGAGUAAGUCGGAUGUGAAAUCCCCGGGCUUAACCUGGGAAUUGCAUUCGAUACUGCUUGGCUAGAGUGUGGAAGAGGGAAGCGGAAUUUCCGGUGUAGCGGUGAAAUGCGUAGAUAUCGGAAGGAACACCAGUGGCGAAGGCGGCUUCCUGGUCCAACACUGACGCUGAGGCGCGAAAGCGUGGGGAGCGAACAGGAUUAGAAACCCCCGUAGUCC